GACGAAGGUGGCAAGCGUUGUUCGGAAUCACUGGGCAUAAAGCGCACGUAGGCGGCUAAGUAAGUCGGAUGUGAAAUACCUCGGCUCAACCGAGGAACUGCGUCCGAUACUGCUUGGCUUGAGGUCCGGAGGGGAGAGUGGAAUUCCCGGUGGAGCGGUGAAAUGCGUAGAGAUCGGGAAGAACGCCGGCGGCGAAAGCGACUCUCUGGUCGGAAUCUGACGCCGAGGUGCGAAAGCUAGGGGAGCAAACGGG
rnacentral:rRNA from 1 species